UACGUAGGGCGCAAGCGUUUGUCCGGAAUUAUUGGGCGUAAAGAGCUCGUAGGCGGUUUGUCGCGUCUGCUGUGAAAACCUAAGGCUCAACCUUGGGCUUGCAGUGGGUACGGGCAGACUAGAGUGCGGUAGGGGUGACUGGAAUUCCUGGUGUAGCGGUGGAAUGCGCAGAUAUCAGGAGGAACACCGAUGGCGAAGGCAGGUCACUGAGC
rnacentral:rRNA from 1 species